GGACGCUUAGCUCAGCUGGUUCAGAGCAUCUCGCUUACACCGAGAGGGUCGUAGGUUCGAAUCCUACAGCGUCCACCA
rnacentral:tRNA from 1 species